GGGCCGGUAGCUUAGUUGGUAGAGCGCCGCGCUGGCAGUGCGGAGGUCAGGGGUUCAAGUCCCCUCCGGUCCA
rnacentral:tRNA from 1 species